rnacentral:RNase_P_RNA from 1 species
GAAGUAACGCAGACUGCCGCGUCUCGCAAGAGAUGAGGAAAGUCCGGGCACCACAGGGCUGGUUGCUGGGUAACGCCCAGUGCGCGUGAGCGUGAGGAUAGUGCCACAGAAAUGAAAACCGCCAUUCUUUAAGAUUUCUUGGGGGAUGGUAAGGGUGCAACGGUGCGGUAAGAGCGUCACCAGCAGAAUCGAGAGGUUCUGGCUAGGUAAACCCCGCUGAAGGUGCAAGGCCAAGGUAUAUCUUGAGGCAAUGGUUGCCCGCCAUCUCAAGGUGCCGAAACCGCUUGAGGGUUCAGGUAACUGAACUCCCAGAGAGAUGGCAGUCUAAAACAGAACCCGGCUUACGCGUUACUUCAUUU